CGCCGUUGGGCCUUCUCCCUCCAGGGGCCCAAGAGCCACUGGUACCCAGUGUCUGGGUGGGGGCAGGGGGCAUUUUUGUUCUCCCAGCACCUGCUCCUGUUGAGACCAGAGAACUUGGUGGUCGACCACAGGCUGGGGUAUUAGUUCACCCCUAGCUUCUCCCCAGCGAGAUCCCAGGGCCCUUGGGCACAGGGGAUUAAGCCUCAGUCUGCUUACGUGCAAGCAGAAGAAAGAGGCCCAGAGAGCAACAGUGGCGGGUCUGCAGUCACACAGCCAACUUGCGCUUGUGGCAGUGGCAAGGUUGCUGGUUCAGUGGGGCUGUCGACCACAGGUACCAACCCUGCCCUCCCCUACAGAGUAUGUGACACAGGCACAGCCAAUCACUGCAUCCCAGUGCUUGGACCAGUCACAGUGUCAAGGAAGUUCUGAGGGUACCCCUCACUCAAGCUCCAGGCGUCAGGAAAAGAACAUUCCACGAAGUCCAUCUGGAAGACGGUCCUUUCCCUGCUGCCCCCAGCUUCUAGAACAUUCCCUGGAACACAGCAAGUGUUCAGUUAUUGUUCAUGGAGUGACAGAUGUCUCAGCCAAGAAGGUACAAUCACAGGGAAGAAUGACUUCAAUUGGUUUUGACUUCAACCUGCUUCCAGCCUGGUUCCCUUCUCCCACCUCCCUACAGCCCACAGAAGAUCUUUUCCAAACCGGAAGUCUGUCCAGGUUAUUCUUCUGCUCUAAGGCUUUCAGUAGCUCCCCCUUAUCC
rnacentral:lncRNA from 1 species